GUCGGUGAUGUUACUCAUGUACAGGUUAGACCCGUUGGUAUUGUUACUCAUGUACAGGUUAGACUCUUUGGUGAUGUUACUCCUGUACAGGUUAGACCCAUUGGUGAUGUAACUCAUGUACAGGUUAGACCUGUUGAUGUUACUCAUGUACAGGUUAGACUCGUUGGUGAUGUUACUUAUGUACAGGUUAGACCCGUUGGUGAUGUUACUCCUGUACAGGUUAGACUCGUUGGUGCUGUUACUCAUGUACAGGUUAGACCCGUUGGUGUACUCAUGUACAGGUUAGAACCGUUGGUGAUGUUUGUAUGGGUUAUUCUUGUACAGGUUAGACACUUAGAGGAAUAAAGAUUUGGCAGAUUUUUUGACGAUUGUACAGCAUUUGGAUCCAUGUGAAAUAAGAAUGUCUAAAGAAAACAAAAUUGUGAUCAAUACUGUUAUCUGGGUCGCGGAUUUAAAUAUUCGACCUUCACCUUUAAAAUCCCUUUUCGCCCAAUACUAUCCGGUGUUGAUUCGCCUUUAAACGUGACAAAGAUCUAAAAUACUAGAUAAUAUACAGAUUUCUUUUCGUUGAAGUUCUGUAUUCAGUAAAAUUACUACAUAAAUGAAAUAUUCGUAGAUAUUUUCAUUCGUUUCUUGAAGUCAUUAAGAUCGUUUCGUGGUACAAACUUUCGUGGAUACCCCAAUAUAAAACAAAGAUAAGUCAAGUAUAUCAGUUAAAUUCGUUGUAGCUAUUUUCGGGUUUCCGUGGCCUCCACGAAAACCACGAAUGUUUAUAUACAAUGAUCAUUUCAUGGUAUAUAGUAUGCACCAAUGUUGCCUCCCCAUCAUGAUGAAAAUGAUUAAGAGAGUACGUACAAGUUCUACUGUGGUGACAAUCGCCUCAUUAUACAACAGUUUAUCUAAAUUCAUAAACAUUCCCAAGGGUUACAUUGAAUGUUUAAUUCAAUCAAAUUACAACUUACUAUAUAGUUUUGUGACAUGAAUGAAUCACAUGCAGAUAUAGAUUACGUUUUCAAUGAUUUGAGGUGUAAAGUUCGUAAAAUUUGUUCUAGAUAUGGUCAGUAAUGAACAAAAAAGAAAAUGGCAGGUUGAAUACUGUUACAAAACUUAGUGUAUGCGUUACUAGUCGAAAGGCAAAGGUAGUGAGUGUAUAGAAAUAUUCUUUAUUUUGUCCAUUGUUUUUAUUUGGUAGUAAUUUUAAGUUAACACGUAAGCUUCCAUUGUAGAAGCUUAUACUUGUAUGUACAGAAAUGUAGAUGGUUUUUUAUCAGUGUAAUACUUAUUUGAAAUGAUAUGUAAUGUGAUCAGUUGUUCGUAAAUGUUGUAAUGAUGGAUUUUUGUCAAUAUUAAAAGAUACACAUAACAAAAGUG